UUCGGGUUUUUUAAUGAAGUUGUAUUAUUAAUGAAAUGGUUUUAGUAAUUAUACUUUUUAAAUUGAAUAAUAGAAUAGUAAGACCCACAAAUAGUGAAGACCAUGCUCUUGGGGAAGAGCACGGUUGAGAGUGUUGUGCCUUAAUUAGUUAUAUUAUUAAAAUUCUGACAAUAAAUUCGAUUUUCAAAUGAUCAAAUUAUAAAUAAAUAAUAUUUAAAAAAAAUAAUAACAUAAAAUUAUGAAAUUAUCCUUAUAAAUAUUUAAAAUUGUUAGGCCGUACGCACCAUGCAGCAUGUAUAUAUAUAUACACAUGGUUGCUACUAAUAACUUAAAUCCCAACUGAGUUUUGAGAGUAAUUGCUUUAGGUUUUCUAUAAAUCCAAAAUGGGUUCAACAAGAAUUGAAGUUAAGGUUCUUUUUUUAUUGAUGGCUCUCCUCGUUUCGUCACAAGUUGGAGACGCUCGACAGCUCAAUCCAGUUCCAUCUAAAGAAGGUGAAAAGAUGAGACCUUUAGGCAAUUGUCUGAAUGGAUGCUGUGGUGCAUACGCCAAAGGAGGCAAAGGCAAAGGCGGAGGCGGAGGCGGAGGCGGAAGCGGAGGCGGAUAUUGCCACUGCUGCAAUUAUCCCAACACACACAAUCCAACCAACACCCAUACUUAAUGUUUUAUUUUAUCUAAAAUUAAGGUUUUGAAUAAGAAAAAAAUAAAGGGAAGUAAAGUCAGUUUAUCUUUGUUAUAGGUUGGCCAAAAUUCAAUCGAAAAUAGCUUAAGAGCAUCCACACUAGGGCUAUAUACUCCGCUAUGCCAGUAUUUUAUCCCCCGUCUCAUUCACCUGCAGUGGGGCGCACUAUAUCUUUUUAACUACUAGUACUAUUUUGUAGUUUAUUUUAUUUUUCAUG